GGUACAACGUAUCUUCAUUCUAGUUCGAUUGGGAUUAUUCAUAAUGGACCAAUGCCCGAGGGUUAUGUGAAAAUCUAAGUAUCUGAAAUCUAUCCCGAUUCCAAGAAAACGUCUCUUCCUCCACUUUCAUGCUAUGAUGUACUUGAAGAUUUAGGUGAUGCUAUUGGUUAUUUCAUUUAGUGGCCACUUUCUACAAUAAAGGUAGUCUAAUAUACGAAUUAUAUAUUACUUUUUUUUUACUCUUAGUAAGACUUCUAGUAUGUUUGUUAACCUGUAGCUUUCAAACACGAAGGCCAUUCCGCAUAAUCCAUCCUUGACACAACAAACUCAUGACAACACAUGUUAUUCAUUAGAGUUUGAGGAUGUCGCUGAACAAAACCAAACUCAUGAAAGUCAUCAAAUUGAUACGACUAUGGUCGAAAAUGUUGACGAUGAGUUUCUAUUUGGUUCACACGAUGUUUCCACUGAACAUGAUGUUGACGGACUAGAAGAACCAGAUAGGACGUUUUCCAAACACGAGGUUCAUGUUGAACAACCUCAAGCUCCAAUGUUGUCAAAGCAAAAUAUACUGGAGGCCUUGUGGAAGAUCCAAAAUUUGCGAAUUGCCUUUGAAAUUAACAAAAAAGACGGGAUUACCCCUGACUUAACGGAGAAAAAUGGAUGGAGUUAACGAACCGGAUGAAACUGACAAGAUUUCACACAUUUUGGAUCCAGACGCAGAAAAACAAAGCUUUUGACGAAAGUCACAAAAUUGGCCAAACCUCAUGAACAAAAA